GAUGAACGCUGGCGGCGUGCCUAAUACAUGCAAGUCGAGCGAACGGACGAGAAGCUUGCUUUUCUGAUGUUAGCGGCGGACGGGUGAGUAACACGUGGAUAACCUACCUAUAAGACUGGGAUAACUUCGGGAAACCGGAGCUAAUACCGGAUAAUAUUUUGAACCGCAUGGUUCAAAAGUGAAAGACGGUCUUGCUGUCACUUAUAGAUGGAUCCGCGCUGCAUUAGCCAGUUGGUAAGGUAACGGCUUACCAAGGCAACGAUGCAUAGCCGACCUGAGAGGGUGAUCGGCCACACUGGAACUGAGACACGGUCCAGACUCCUACGGGAGGCAGCAGUAGGGAAUCUUCCGCAAUGGGCGAAAGCCUGACGGAGCAACGCCGCGUGAGUGAUGAAGGUCUUCGGAUCGUAAAACUCUGUUAUUAGGGAAGAACAUAUGUGUAAGUAACUGUGCACAUCUUGACGGUACCUAAUCAGAAAGCCACGGCUAACUACGUGCCAGCAGCCGCGGUAAUACGUAGGUGGCAAGCGUUAUCCCGGAUUAUUGGGCGUAAAGCGCGCGUAGGCGGUUUUUUAAGUCUGAUGUGAAAGCCCACGGCUCAACCGUGGAGGGUCAUUGGAAACUGGAAAACUUGAGUGCAGAAGAGGAAAGUGGAAUUCCAUGUGUAGCGGUGAAAUGCGCAGAGAUAUGGAGGGACACCAGUGGCGAAGGCGACUUUCUGGUCUGUAACUGACGCUGAUGUGCGAAAGCGUGGGGAUCAAACAGGAUUAGAUACCCUGGUAGUCCACGCCGUAAACGAUGAGUGCUAAGUGUUAGGGGGUUUCCGCCCCUUAGUGCUGCAGCUAACGCAUUAAGCACCCCGCCUGGGGAGUACGACCGCAAGGUUGAAACUCAAAGGAAUUGACGGGGACCCGCACAAGCGGUGGAGCAUGUGGUUUAAUUCGAAGCAACGCGAAGAACCUUACCAAAUCUUGACAUCCUUUGACAACUCUAGAGAUAGAGCUUUCCCCUUCGGGGGACAAAGUGACAGGUGGUGCAUGGUUGUCGUCAGCUCGUGUCGUGAGAUGUUGGGUUAAGUCCCGCAACGAGCGCAACCCUUAAGCUUAGUUGCCAUCAUUAAGUUGGGCACUCUAAGUUGACUGCCGGUGGCAAACCGGAGGAAGGUGGGGAUGACGUCAAAUCAUCAUGCCCCUUAUGAUUUGGGCUACACACGUGCUACAAUGGACAAUACAAAGGGCAGCGAAACCGUGAGGUCAAGCAAAUCCCAUAAAGUUGUUCUCAGUUCGGAUUGUAGUCUGCAACUCGACUACAUGAAGCUGGAAUCGCUAGUAAUCGUAGAUCAGCAUGCUACGGUGAAUACGUUCCCGGGUCU
rnacentral:rRNA from 1 species